rnacentral:tRNA from 1 species
GCGGGGGUCGUUUAGCUGGAUAGGGCGCCACCCAGAGAGGGUGGAGACGCUGGUUCAAAGCCAGCCCCCGGCCCC